rnacentral:lncRNA from 1 species
AAUUUGAUAGUUUAGCUUCAUGGGCGCCAAGUCUUGAACUGGUCCUUUGGUUGGUGUAGACAUGGUGAAGAAGUCGGCUGACAUAUCAUAUGAGUGAACUUGUAGUCCUUUGAGCUUCUUGAACGUUGAUGUAGGAAUAGCUCUUGCCGAAUUGUAACUUGAGUUAUCUUGUAACUCUCAUAUCUUCUGGAACUUCAUUAAGACAUGGUCAAGACUUGCAUCUUUGCAGCUGACCACUCUAUGUCCUGGUCGGAUGGAUAGCACUCGACCAGUACUCGGAUGGACCUCUAAUCUGCG